GCAAUCUCUAAGUACCUGUGGGGAGAUCCAGAUGGCUCAUAUCUUGCUACCUUGCUGCACCUCUACCUUCUUGGGUCCUGUGCAAACCUUGAUGAGAAGCAGAAGAUGACUUCCCACCCCACAGCCUGGGAGAUCCAGCCAGCCUAUGUAAGCAGCAGACACUGGACGGUAAAGGAAACGAAUCCUUCAUAUAUUGUGUGAGCCCAGCAGGGAAACAGAAAUGCUUUCCAAGAAGAGAAAAGAAAGAAAAAUGUUGGCCUGUCAUUGGUGAAUUCGUAUGUCAUGGGCAACAUGAAUUCUGAACCUAGAAAGCUUUCAUUUGAAGGUAUGAUUCCCAUUACCCCGUUUCUUUCUUUCU
rnacentral:lncRNA from 1 species